UAAACCCGCGCCCUUCAUCUUCUGCAACCUCACCACCACCUUCGCCGUUUUCACGCCUUCACCUUUGCUCACCACCACUCACCUUCGCUCACCAUUACUCACCGGCACCCUUCUCCUUCGUCUUCAUCUUCGCUCACCACUUACUGUCGCCGGUCCUCAUCUUCUUCACCUUCACCUUUGAUGCCCUAUACGUCGCGUACCCUGACCGUAGCGCCACUACCAGUGACGUUGUUAGCAGGACGAUUCUCCUUCUGCCACCGCGCUUCACUCUGUUCAUUGCCUCCACAAGAACGCGCCCGGGGUGUUCACGAUACUCACCAUCGUGACCUUUGUCUCACUCUGUAUCCUCUCUGAAUCUCUACAUCUAGAAUGGAGAUGCCUCAGGGGUUUAGGGGUUUUGAGAUGGUGCAUAUGAAUUUUUUAGGGGUUUUGAAUCUUCUAAUUUGUUUGUUCUAAGUUUUAGGGUUUUGAUUUUUAUUGUUUUGAAUUUUUUGUGUAUCUGAUUUUUUCCCGGCCAUUGCAGUUUGUCACUUCCUUCAUCCGUUCCUUGCGGCAUCAUUCACGUCGUCUUCUCUAUUCUCCAUUAGCGUCACGGCAUCUUCUCUCUUCUUCGCCGCAAGCGUCGCGUCGUUUACUCUUUUCUCCAUCGUGAGCGUCGCGUCUUGUCAUCUUCUUCUAUGGACUUGUUCGUCUUCUCCACCGAUGUAAUAGUUUCGUUCAUCAUUUCUGCUAGCACAACCUUACUUGUCGCUUUCUGCUCUGACUCCCUUCGUCUCUGCAUGAAGGGGAUUUUUAUUGCAUUGUUAGUUUUGGCUUGCAUGGCCUUCCUGCAGCUCGAGAGGUCCAACCAAUCAAACGUAAGAUAGAGUACUCAGCUCCUUCAAUAGGGUAUUGGAGGCAAGAGCUGGGUAUUAUGAAAAGCCAAUUGCUACAAUAGAUUUUGCAUCACUAUAUCCAUCUAUUAUGAUGGCCUAUAAUUUAUGUUAUUGUACCCUGGUGACUCCUGAAGAUGUUCGGAAACUUAAUCUCCCUCCAGAAUCAGUGAACAAAACUCCAUCUGGGGAAACAUUUGUUAAAUCAAAUUUGCAGAAGGCUAGUAUUGGAAUGGAUAACUUGAACGCUUAAUGCACAAAGUGGAGCAGUUUUAGGUUGAUUCUGAUCUUUUACUAAGUAUUUAGGCUGAUGAGCAUCUCUAUUAGUGUAAUUUGAAAUAUUGAGCAGUUUUAACUUGUAUUGUUUCUGUAUUUUUCUUCGAUUUUUAGUUUUGGAAUUUAAACUCGAAAUUUAUUUUGUAUUUGAAUAUUAGUUUUUUAAUGUAUAAAACAAUUAUAGUAAAUUAUAUAUGUCACUAAUUAUUGUUUGAUAUGUCUUGUAAUAAAAAUUGCAUAUUAUAUUUGUAGGUUUGGUAAUAAAAAAGGAUUGAAAAUUUAUAUUGUGUAGCAAUGAAGAUCAACUAAGGAACAGAAUUUUUUUUUUAAUUUAACAAUGCUUAAAGCGUGGCUGUAUAUUUUAAAGCGUGGCCGUAUCUCUUCCUAUCGUCACGUGUUAAAAGCGUGGCCAUACCUCCCCUUUUGCAACGCUUUAAAAGCGUCGACAUAUCUCGUCUACUGCCACGCUUGUAAAAGCGUGGCCAGAUCUGCAGUAUUGCCACGCUUUAACAGCGUGGCCAUAUCUCUACCUAUUGGCA